rnacentral:lncRNA from 1 species
CCGCAAAGUUCGGACAUGAGCAGCUGAUGUAACUGAAGAAGAGGCUAAAUUCUUACUAACUGGCACCUGCAACGACACGAAUGCAGUAGGUUAGACUGCUUUGCUCACCCACAUUUUCUUCCCAGUUUAUAGAAGAAAUGUUAAGUCAUACCACUCCACUUUAUAUUUGUUUUGCAAGAAACAAGCAUAUAUCAUUUUUGCAAUAGCACAGCGAUGCAGAGAGGUAAUACAAUUUACAUAAGAUCCUAUGAACUGCGUCAUGCCAAAAGACACGGCAGCAGGUUAGACUGUUUUGCGCACCCACAUUUUCUUCCCAGUUUAUAGAAGAAAUAAGUCAUACCACUCCACUUUAUAUUUGUUUUGCAAGAAACAAGCAUAUAUCAUUUUUGCAAUAGCAUAGCGAUGCAGAGAGGUAAUACAAUUUACAUAAGAUCCUAUGAACUGCGUCAUGCCAAAAGACACAUCUGACCUUUUGAAAUGCUGGGCUGGUGUGACAGGUGGAGUUGGACAGAAGAAAUGGUGGCAGAACAUCCCAGGCUGCAUUUGGUGGUCAGACUGGAAUGAGAGGAACUUCAGAUGUUUUGAGGAUGUUAG